UCCUUCCCAGUCCCUCCCAGUGUGUCCCAUUCCCUCCCAGUGUGUCCCAGUGCCCCCCCGGGUCGGUGGGUGCCCCCCCCGCGGUGUGUGACCCCGUGUCCCCCCCCCAGGGUCCCCCCCGGUUCUCCCAGUCCCUCCCAUCCCUCUCUUCCGUUCUCCCCCAUUCCCUCCCAGUCUGUCCCAGUCCCUCCCAGUGUGUCCCAGUGCCCCCCCGGGUCGGUGGGUGCCCCCCCCGCGGUGUGUGACCCCAUGUGUCCCCCCCCCCGGUUCUCCCAGUCCCUCCCAGUCUAUCCCAGUCCCUCCCAGUCUCUCCCAGUCCCUCCCAGUCUUCCCUCCCAGUCUCUCCCAGUCCCUCCCAGUCUAUCCCAGUCCCUCCCAGUCUGUCCCAGUACCCCCCCCGGGUGGGUGGGUGCCCCCCCCGCGGUGUGUGACCCCGUGUGUCCCCCCCCCGGUUCUCCCAGUCCCUCCCAGUCCCUCCCAUCUCUCUCUCCCAUUCUCUCCCAGUCCUUCCCAGUCUAUCCCAGUCCCUCCCAGUCUCUCCCAGUACCCCCCCCGGGUGGGUGGGUGCCCCCCCCGCGGUGUGUGACCCCGUGUCCC